rnacentral:rRNA from 1 species
AUUGAACGCUGGCGGCAUGCCUUACACAUGCAAGUCGAACGGCAGCACGGGGGCAACCCUGGUGGCGAGUGGCGAACGGGUGAGUAAUGCAUCGGAACGUGCCCAGUAGUGGGGAUAACUAGUCGAAAGAUUAGCUAAUACCGCAUACGACCUAUGGGUGAAAGCGGGGGAUUCGCAAGAACCUCGCGCUAUCGGAGCGGCCGAUGUCUGAUUAGCUAGNGGCGGGUAAAGGCCCACCAAGGCUUCGAUCAGUAGCUGGUCUGAGAGGACGACCAGCCACACUGGGACUGAGACACGGCCCAGACUCCUACGGGAGGCAGCAGUGGGGAAUUUUGGACAAUGGGCGCAAGCCUGAUCCAGCCAUGCCGCGUGCGGGAAGAAGGCCU